UACGGAGGGAGCUAGCGUUGUUCGGAAUUACUGGGCGUAAAGAGCGCGUAGGCGGCUAACUAAGUUGGGAGUGAAAUCCCAGGGCUUAACCCUGGAAUGGCUUUCAAAACUGGUUAGCUAGAGGACGAUAGAGGAUGGUGGAAUUCCUAGUGUAGAGGUGAAAUUCUUAGAUAUUAGGAGGAACAUCGGAGGCGAAGGCGACCAUCUGGGUCGUAUCUGACGCUGAGGCGCGAAAGCGUGGGGAGCAAACAGG
rnacentral:rRNA from 1 species